rnacentral:rRNA from 1 species
GUGCCAGCCGCCGCGGUAAUACGGAGGGUGCGAGCGUUAAUCGGAAUUACUGGGCGUAAAGGGCGCGUAGGCGGUCGCGCAAGUCGGGUGUGAAAGCCCCGGGCUCAACCUGGGAAUUGCAUUCGAUACUGCGUAACUAGAGUCUGGUAGAGGGAAGCGGAAUUCCGCAUGUAGCGGUGAAAUGCGUAGAUAUGCGGAGGAACACCAGUGGCGAAGGCGGCUUCCUGGACCAAGACUGACGCUGAGGCGCGAAAGCGUGGGGAGCAAACAGGAUUAGAUACCCUGGUAGUCCACGCCCUAAACGAUGAGGACUAGACGUUGGGGGGAUAAAACCCUUUAGUGUCGCAGCUAACGCGUGAAGUCCUCCGCCUGGGGAGUACGGCCGCAAGGUUGAAACUCAAAUGAAUUGGCGG